CCGUGCCCAAGAGAUCGGGAUAACACCUGGAAACAGAUGCUAAUACCGGAUAACAACAGAUGAUGCCUAUCAACUGUUUAAAAGAUGGUUCUGCUAUCACUCUUGGAUGGACCUGCGGUGCAUUAGCUAGUUGGUAGGGUAACGGCCUACCAAGGCGAUGAUGCAUAGCCGAGUUGAGAGACUGAUCGGCCACAUUGGGACUGAGACACGGCCCAAACUCCUACGGGAGGCAGCAGCU
rnacentral:rRNA from 1 species